CCGGUGUUUCUUUUUUCUACCCUUUCUCCAAGGGUGGCAGAAAGGAUGCAUCCUCCCUUGUCCUCAUGACAACCCUGUGAGAGCAUUGGCCCAAGGUCACCCAGGGACCUUCAUGGCUGAGCAGGAUUUGAAUUUGGGUCUUCCUAGUCCUUGUGCUACACUUGGACUGCUAUUCCACACUAGUAUUAUGCCUAUGUUAUAAUAUUGAGUAAAGACAACAUUUGUUUGGACAUAAAUAAAGAACACAAGCAUUUUAAUUGCAGUCACGUUUAUUUGCCAUUUCUAUACACACUUCCUAGAUAAUCAAACUUUUCUGACACAUUUUAGAGAGGGGGUUCACAAUGAAACUGUCACUGUCUUUACUAAAAAAUAAAUACAAGACUUAAAGUGUUGCACAGCUCUAAAAUAUACAAAGGCUUGGAUUUAAUGUAAACUUUGAAAACAUUUUACAAAAGAAACCAUCUUUGCAACAAUUUAAAAAGUCCAUAUUUACAAAUAUUACAAAAAUACAAAAUGGAUGCAAGUCCAUAAACCAUUGUCUUUUCUGCCAGCUUGAACUGGUGCUAGUACCAAAAUAGUUACACUGUAACCUUCUUAAUUGGUUUUUAAACUUUUAAGUCAUAACCUACAGUAUUUCUCUAAAUCUGCCACAAUUGCAGCAAAUGCACUCUAUCAGUGACCUUUGGCAAAUGCAAACAUAUGCUUUAUUUGCUACAGCUAAUCCAUAUUCUCUAUGCUGCCACAAUAUUAAAAAAAGAAAAGAAAAAUGCUAUUAAAAGGAAAAAACACAAACCGCUGCAUAACUUCAAAACUCAUUUUUGUAACAGUGCAAACAACAGAACUGCAAGUUGGAAUGAUGGUAUACAAGUUAACAUAUGUGAUAUACCCUGUUUCAAGACGUGAUGUUACUUAAUUUCUCUUUGUUUUGGGCUCUGAAGAUCUACAAUUGUAGCAUUUCCCCCUCAAUUUGUUUUUGUCCCCAAAUUGAUCACCCUGAUCCAGAGCUCUGGGUAUGCUCUCACGCACACAAGCCUGUAUGUGUACAGGAUAUUCUCAUUAACUUCAAUAAAUGGGCAAAAUUCUGUGCCAAAAAAAAAAAAAAAGUGAUGGCCCUCCCCAGUGUGAAUUGAGGCAGCCCUUUGUGGGCAGCAGAACUCCAUCUGCUUACAACAAAUAGCUUGAUUGGGUUUUAUCUGUGAAUAUAUAUUUUUUGAAGUGGUCUUACAAUCCUUCUUCAUUUGGGCUUUAAUCUGAUAAAUAGAAAAUAGAAAGACUUUUUUCAUAGAUUUGAGUAAACAAAAUAAGUAUUUAUAUGAUAGUUCUGUGAGCAAUACAUAAGAAGGUGUUUCACUGCCUUCCAAUUCAAGUUGCAUCUAUUUUUAAUAUAUCUCUAUAUGUAUAUAGCUCUCUGAUAUUAAUAACAAAUCAUUUAAUGUCUUGAGUGAAAUCCACAAUGGAUGAGCUUGCCUCAGUGGAUUGUGGAUGGCACCUAAGAGAUUGACAACUUGGAGAAGCCAAUUCAGCUGUUUCUAUUACACUUUUUAGCAUAAAGUACAUGUAGCACUUUUCACAAAUGAAUUUGGCACCCUGAUCCUUAACAUUUUUUAGUACUCUAACACUAAAGCGACACAGUUGGUGCACCCAAUUCUGAGCACUCUGUUGGAGGCAUAGUCAGUUUUAGCAUUGGGCUGUAAGAGUGCUCUUGCAGUAAUCUCUUCUUAAAUUGUCUUCUUUCAUUGAAUUUUAGCUUUACUGACACUAAUCUUAACAAAAGUGAUUAAGAUGGCACUUCUGCCUCCCAUAUCAAGUUUAUGACUCUUGUUCUUAAAGGAAGAUUAUAUGCAAUAUGGAUCUUGUUAACUCACGAAUGCAUUCAAUUUCACUUGCUUUUAGACCACUUUAGAGCUUGCUUGCCUAUUAGUUGUACUUGAUAAGGCUUGCGUCUAACACUAACUUCUUUCUUUUCAACACUGCUACCAAGCAUUGUCUUUAAAACCCCGUUUUGCUGACUGGCACCCAGAUUCUGUGUUUCCUACCCCAACAUAUCUGCUUGCUCCACCUGCAUAAUAAUCUCUACCACGUGCCAGAAUAUUGCCACAGCUUGUAAUGAUGUACUGGUUUGGCAGUGCAGAUGGCCUAUCCUAAAGGUUUCUUUGCUGUGGCAGAUCUUAAAACUGGGCAAGUAAUCUCCUGUCCGCAUUACUCUUUUACACACAUGCCGCCCAUCCAUCUCAUGCCAUACUGGAGGACUAUAAGUAAGCCAAAAACAUACUUGCAUAUGUUUUUAUGUUCCCCCUGUGGAGGAUAAUUUGACUAAUGCAACUAAUUUUGAAUGUAUAUAAUUAUUUGAUUGUUUCAACCCAGAUCAAAUAAAAUGUGUCUUCCAAAACUUCUCAUUUUGUUAAAUUAAAAAACACCCCCCACUCCUUUCCAUUCCUUCUAUGUCCCUUUUAAAUUUGCUUCCGCUUGAAGCCAACAUACACAGACUAACUAAUGAUGACCAGCUUCAUUCGGCCAUUCUGCCCAUAACCCACAUUGCACACCACAUUCCUUCUCAAAACUAUCUUUUGCACACAACUGUCCAGAACUGAAAACACAUUCUAUAUUUAAUUCAUAUCCGUGGAUCACAUUUGAGAAAACUGGGCCUGGGUGUCUUAUUUAGUUUUGGAGCAUAUGGCAAUUGGAAAACUGAUGUGUAUUUUUUUUUUUUUUUUUAAAUGCUGAAUUUAUGUUGUGCAUAAGAAGGUGGGUUAUUUUUUGUAAAGAAACCCAGUUAUGGUUUGAUUCAAUAUCACUUUUUUUGUUUUCCAAGAAAAUUCAAGUAACUUCAAGUAAUUCAGCUUUUGUUUCCCUGCCUUCAUUUAUUCAAAGUAUUUGCUCUGAUUCUUUUUCCACCCCCACCCACUAUAUAUUCCUACCCUGUUAAGCAUUUCUGGUAAAACCAGGAUAGAAAGAAACUGAGCUGUAUGUGGCUGGCAUAAUGGAUCAUAGAGCUUCCCCAUUCAUAGUUUUUAGUAAGCCAUAUUAAGAAUGCAUACAUAUGCCUAUUUCUCAGCUAUUUUUUUCACAGUGUCAUUUCUCUAAAUAUUUAGGUAGCAUGAAUGUUGUCCGCACAAAGCUUCACUGAAAGGUUGUAACACAAUUGUUUUGAUAAACCAACAGCAUUUGUUGCAUGCGUAAUAAUUAUUUAUUUUAUGAACAUGAAACUAAUCCUGUUUCAAGAUCUUGGUUCUCAGGUUAUGACUAGGUUUCCCAACAGCCUAGUAGUAGUGAAUAACAAUACUAUGAAAAUAAGUACUAUUUCCUCAUACUUGUCCCCUCUUCACAGUCAUUGUCCAAAUUAAGUACCAAACAUCACAGUAAAGCAUGACAGCUUGGGGGGUUAGAAGAGGAGCGUGUGGUUUUUUUCCUGUUAAAAGUGUGCUUUUCAUCCCAAACAAUAAUUACUAUAACUUGUGGCACUACAAACUUAAUCAGUUAAAAACCUGUUCAAUUGACAUGGCUUCCCUCAAAGAACUCUGGGAUUUGCAGUUGUGUGACAGGAUUGAGCAUUUCUAAAGGUGCAUCAUGAUGAUUAAUAAGGAUUGGUUAUGUUUUUGCUUACUUUAAUAAACCUGUUUUAUUAGUUGAGGGUCUCUAAAAGAAGGGGAAUGAUGGAUUUUGCUUACGUGUUGUUGGAUGAAUGUGGAGAGAAUGAUAAUUUACUUAAUCGCAUUUUUAUCCUGUAUGCACCAGCUCCAAGGAGUUCAGGACAGCCUACAUAGAGAUCCUCACAAACAACCCCGUCACGCAAGUAAAACAAAGAUCAUGAUUUGCUCAGUGAGCUUCAUGGCUAUGCAAGGAUUUGAAUCCCCGUCUCCCUAUUCUAAGCCUGGUUCCUUCCCUAUUUUUCUACACUGGCUUACAUUAGUGACAUUGAAUACGAAACUGGUUAGUUAAGUUGGAGGAGUUAGUUAAGUUGGAGUAAAGGGGUGCAAUAUGAGUAAGAUGUAGGACAGAAUUUUACUACUGUUGCUGUUUAACCUUAAUUGGUGCAAGCCAUGCUAGGCAGUGUGCAAAUGAUGGAAUUGAUAUGAUCUUUUCCCAGUGGUCUUACAAAACUGUUCCAAAGGGCUUUAGUUUUUGUGUUUAAAUUCAGGGUAUGGCGAGUUCCAGGGGCAUAGCUAGGGGAGAGGGGGCCCAUGUUUAUCCUUCUCUCUGGCAACCCCCAGAGUGAGGGAGACAAUGAAGAAAAUAGGGAGGGAUGGAUCUAGAGGGCCCUCAGGAUCUGGGGGCCCGUGUUCUUUGAACCCUUUUGCUAAAUUAUAGCUACGCCCCUGGCGGGUUCCUAUGCAUAGAAGAAUUACAUUUAUGUUGUCUUCCCUCCUUAAGCGCCCCGUUUAUGGAACACCGUCCCCAGUGAGAUUCGCCUAACUUCAUUGCUUUGUUCUUUUAGAUGCCAGCACCCACACAUUCACAAAACUACAAUUCUCAGGAUUCCUAGGAGUGAGGGAUGAAGUCAGAAGCCACAAGAGAAAAGCUGUAUUUUAAACAGUUUGUAUUUUCAGUACCUAUCAAUGAGCCUCGACACAAGGUACAUUUCUGAAAUUUGCUUGUUUGGAACAGCAUUUUUGAAGGAAAACUAAUCAAGUAUUAUAAAAUUAAGUUGAUAUUAAUAACUUUUCAUAUUUUAUUAACAUUGGGAUUUCCUCUAAUUCAAAACCCAUGUUUGAGGCUAUAUUAUUGAAGUGGAAGUGGUAGAUAUGUAAAUUAUGUUUGAUAUGAAAAUUGUAUUCACAGAAUACAGUCAUCACUAUUAUCCUUAUUUAUUUGUUUUUGUCUUCAACAAAGCUGUUAUUUGCCACCAACCACUUAUUUUCUCAUAAUUCUAUUUACAAAUGUUUAUCAAAAAUAUGGAUAUGUACAGUACAUCUGUUUUGUUCAUUUCUUCUACAUUUUGUUUCAGUUCAUUUUAGUGUAAAAAAAUACCAAUUCCUCAAGCAAUUUUAUGUUUUUCCCUAGGGAAGCACAAUAGUGAAUGUAAUGCUUUUGAUCCUAAAUGGGUAGCUUUGGAGAGGGAGAUGUCAAUCUACAUUGAUGACAGGAAACAUGAGAAAUGGAAUGAAAGUCAACCAUUUAGUAUAUGUUUCUACUUAUAGAAAAUGUGAAGUAAUAAAUAGCUACAAAUCAUAGUCUCUCCUCCCAGCAUUUUAGCAAUCCUUAGCAUUUUCAAGCAUCAAUAUUGCCCUGCAUGGUAUUUGACUGCUACAGAAUUGGCCUCUCAUGAGCCAAGUAAAUGCAGAGUUCUCCCAUUUCACAGUCUGAAGUGUGUGCUGGCCCUUGUUCAGCCUAUGUGGAACUCUGAGAGGAUCUAUCAUCAUGAGGACUUCCAUCAGAAUUCUCAGUCUCUCCUUCUGAAAUGGCUUGCAUGGGGGUGUUAUAAAGUCUGCAGCGGACACUGUACCGGCUGCUGCUGGCUACAGGAGGUGCCCGUGAUCGUCCUACGCGUGAAGAUGCUGAUGUAGGAAAGCUUUUGGAAGAAAACCCUUCUACGUUGAUUCUUGGAGGGCAAGGAGAGAGCGGAGCAGAUGCCUCAGCCCCUGAUGAGGCUUGGAAAGACUCCUCAGUAUUCUGAAAAGUAUCCCCAAUCAGUUCUCCAGGAGAUUUGGGUGAAAUCGGACUCUUCAGUAUCUCAGUCGCUGACAUCCUAUAGCUAGAAUCAGAUCGACUACCCUUUUUCAGGAGCAGUAGUUUGAAUUCCUCAUUAGAUGUGUUGGACUUUUUGGCAUUCCUGUAAAUAAGUCCAGGAGAUCUCUGGCUGCUUGCUGGACUUGCCACACUGUUGGGAGGUGGGACAGUAGCUGCAGAUGAUGUGCUGCCAGCAGAAGACACACUGCUAGUGUUGGAUGAUUCUCUCAAUCUGUUCCUUGCAGCAACAUCUCCUGAAUCCUUCCUUCCAAGUACUUUCCUUUUUGACCUGUUAUCAAACAAAAGCCAUCAUAUUCCCAGUACAUUCAAUGUGAUAAAACCUAGCCCCAAUUUAUUAUUAAAUAAUCAAUCCCACAAGAGACUAGCAAUCAUUAUAUGUACAGCUUUCCCUAAUAAAUAUUUACUAAACUCUCAUAA